CCUACGGGAGGCAGCAGUGGGGAAUUUUGCGCAAUGGGGGAAACCCUGACGCAGCAACGCCGCGUGGAGGAUGAAGUACUUCGGUACGUAAACUCCUUUCGAUCGGGACGAUUAUGACGGUACCGGAAGAAGAAGCCCCGGCUAACUUCGUGCCAGCAGCCGCGGUAAUACGAGGGGGGCGAGCGUUGUUCGGAAUUAUUGGGCGUAAAGGGUGCGUAGGCGGUUUGGUAAGUCUUGUGUGAAAUCUCUGGGCUCAACUCAGAGACUGCACGAGAAACUGCCGGGCUUGAGUGUGGGAGAGGUGAGUGGAAUUCCUGGUGUAGCGGUGAAAUGCGUAGAUAUCAGGAGGAACACCUGUGGCGAAAGCGGCUCACUGGACCAUAACUGACGCUGAUGCACGAAAGCUAGGGGAGCAAACAGGAUUAGAUACCCUGGUAGUCCUAGCCCUAAACGAUGACUGCUUGGUGUGACGGGUACCCAAUCCCGCCGUGCCGUAGCUAACGCGUUAAGCAGUCCGCCUGGGAGUACGGUCGCAAGGCUGAAAC
rnacentral:rRNA from 1 species